rnacentral:tRNA from 1 species
GAGGAUAUAGCUCAGUGGUAGAGCACGUGCUUAGCUUUCACGAGGUCUUGGAUUCAAACCCCUGUACCUCCA